UCCUUCCUUCCUUCCUUCCUGCCUGCCUUCCUGCCUGCCUGCCUGCCUGCCUGCCUGCCUGAUUUGUGAAACAGUUAAUCCUAAAAAUAGAACCCAGGAAAGAAAGUCAAGUGGAAGCUGUGAUUACUAUCUAAAGAUGUUUUAUUCCUGUCUCAGUUUCAACAAUUUGAGCCACUGAAAGUUCCAGCGACUUUUCCUGAGGGACUUUGGAACAAGAUUUUCACACCUGGGGCUGCUGGAGUUGAAGCUACAUUGUCUUCUAUGGACCAUCAGCCUGAGAGCUGACAGAUAUGAAAUACAAGAAACACCUGAAGAACUAAAUUACUAGACUCCUCCAGCUUGGGACUGUGCAAGGCAGAAGAACAGAAACUGUAAGAAACUUGGAGCUAUGUUAAGAGACUCCCUGGGACCACUUUGUCAAGUGUGAUGGUGUGCCAUGGCCUCAGUUCAAACUCUGCUGUAUACCUUCUGAAGAAAGCUAGAGCCAAACAGUUUUUAGCACACAAAGAAACCAGGAGGCAGCUACCUGCCCUGCAAGAUCCAGCUAAAAGGGAGAGCAUGAGAGAGCAGGAAAACAGACAGAGCUUGAAAACCUCCCUCCAAGCCCAGAGGCUCUUGGCCCUGGUCACUGCCUGAACCCUGCUAUCAAAUGUGUCUCAAGAUGUCUGUCCUGCCCAGUAAACUCUAUCUUACGUCCUAAGUUGUUUCCCUGCUGUUUGGGGACGCACAGUGUUGUGUAAUGUGUUGUAACAUUGGCUUCAUGUCCGUGUGGGUGUCUUUCUGGCAAGAAAAAUAAAGUUUUGAGCCUCAUUCUCCAAUCUUCCUAGCUAUUGUCUGCCAGACUGUUUGCUAGUGUAAAGGAGGCAGGGUGAUGGUGGUGGCUUAUUUUCCACUUGACAGCAUAACAAAACUAAAGGAAAAAAAGCUCCUUCACUCAGUUCAUACUUGGAAAGCCCUUUGUUUUUUGUUUCUGUUUUUGUUUUUACCUGCUAAUGAAUUAAAUAUUUUUACAAGUUCAA